CAGACAAGACAUUUGCUCCCACCACCAUAUCCAUCUCCGCUUCCUGCUCCGCCGAGGAUCCGGGAAAGGAAAGUCGCCAUCAGUAAUUACAAGCUUCCUUAAGAAUGCUUACACGUCUUUCCAGGGAGUUUGUACGCAGUACGUGGCAAUGCACACACAGACUGGUUCGAGCCGCCUGAGCGUGAUCCAUGCCUAGUCAAACUACACAUAGCUAGUGAGUAUCUUUCAGAGAAAUGCUAUAACUGCAUGAUCUCGACCCCGAACUCGGGUUAGCCAUCGUCGCCUUGUUCGUUUUCUUAGCCAUCCUACUCAUUGCACCAGCAAAUUGAAGAAUAACUAGUUGUUCAUGAUUAGAAGGACUAUGAGAAAAGUACAAACUUCAGCACACAACGUCCACUGGGUGAGCACACUCUACCACUAACUUACAGGACAGUUUAGGUUGGUGCAAUGUAAAACAGUCUCGUUUUCCAAUUAUUUGUUUUAGUAGCGUGUAUUGUUCCUUUUCACACCGAGGUGAAUAGCGGAAUAAUUGAAGGAAUGUAUCCGAGCCUCACACAUCAUCUGUGGAAGACGGGACUGCCAGCAUGAUCCUUCAACUGAAGUCGAGAGAGUGCAACUCCCCCAUAGAACACUACAUGACCAAAAGUAUGUGGACACCUGCUCUUCGAACAUCUCAUUCCAAAAUCAUGGGCAUUGAUUUGGAGUUGGUCCACCAUUUAUUGAUAUAGCCGCCUCCACUCGUCUGGGAAGGCUUUCCACUAAGUGUUGGAACAUUGAUGCAGGCACAAAGGUGUUUGAUGGGGUUGAGGCCAGGGCUCUGUGCAGGCCAAUUAAGUUCUUCCACACAAAUCUCAACAAACCAUUUCUGUAUGGACCUGGCUUUGUGCAUGGGGGCAUUGUCAUGCUGAAACAGGAAAGGGCCUUCCCCAAAUUGUUGCCACAAAGUUGGAAGCACAGAAUCGUCUGCUGUAUUGUUAAGAAUAGUAUAUCUAUCAACAGCAAUUAGAGCUGUAAAACCAAGCAAUGACAUUAAGAAUCAAAUAAAGGACAUACUGUAUAAUAUUCUAUAUGUCGGCUUGUUUGUAGGUUUUGACUGGCCUUAUACACAACAAACUUACCUCCUGCAAUCAUGUGUUGGGGCGGAAGGUAGCCUAGUGGUUAGAGCGUUGGACUAGUAACCGGAAGGUUGCAAGAUUGAAUCCCCAAGCUGACAAGACUUGAAUGGUACAGAGUUGACUGCUUUGUGCACAAUUCUUGCAGCACUCACAUGAUCUGUUGUGUGUUAGAGGACAAUUCCAGACAGUACUCCUAUGGCUCUGAUGUCACAGAGGCAGCCAACUUUUCCAUUGACUUUCAUAAUUGCAUGAGCAAAUAUGCCUUUCGUACAAGAUCAUCAACCUUCUAUGUGCCACACCACAGGUCUGUAGACUGCACACUUGUACACUGUUCUGAAGAAAGUAUUGGAAGAACCUUUUAUAGUACCUGCAGGAGAAUAUCAUUUGUUUUAUAAUAGUUAUAAAUAUUUCAUAACUAACUGAACUGAAAAAAAAAACUUCAUAACUAAUUUAACUGAAAUUGUAAUUGUGUCCUCGGAUUUGGCACUUUUAGAUUUGCCCUCCGGUUCGGGUGAAGCACACCGUGACUGUAAAAGUGGGACAGACUGUGUAAGAACGAAGCCAAUGUAAACUUGGCUGAUUGCAGCCUGCCGAAUUCUCUGAAUCUCAAGGUAAUAUAUAAACAGGGCACAACUUUCAGUGAGGAUGGGGGAACAUGCGGACACCUGGAUAAAAAUAACAACUAUGACCUGACAUUUUGUCGUGCUUGAGGUCCCACAUUCUGCCUUUCCAACUCCAAGCUACCUUCUGGUGGACCAGUGUAAUUGACAUGGACUUGGAAUUUAAGUUUGUCAAAGCAUUCUGGAUUGAACUAACCCCGCUGUUGCAUCACCAUACAUCUACAACUCCUUAAAAGCAUUUUGUCAACACAAACACAAUAUUUGGAGCUUGACAUUUAAACUUUGAUUUUACAGUCUCUGAAGUCCUUUAGUAUGUUUUACCUGUUCUUUGGUCACCACGGUCAAGUUCUACUGAUUAAUUAAGAGCUU